rnacentral:lncRNA from 1 species
GUGUCUGGCUGCUGGGAGCCCCCCCUGAGCCUCCCACCAUGAUGACCGUUUCCUCAGGCUGCGAGCAUGGGGUCACUAACUCCACAUAGCAGAGGUUCUCAAGCUCUGACCUAAUUCAUAGGAAUAGCUCCUCUGCAGACAUCCCCUCCCACUUGCUUCUUUCAAAAUGCCAUUGCUAAGCCACAGCUGACUCCUUUACUUGCCUCAGACCUGAGCUGCUGUCCUUGUUCUUGGUUCUACUGCGUUCCAAAGCAUAGCAAAGCUCUACGUUGUUCUGUUAGCUCAUCACUUCAGAUGCAAAACAAUUAUUAGGAAUUCCAUUCAACAAAUUAAGCCCCUUCAUGAUGUUUCCCUGCCUGAGAGAUCAUGUCUGUGUCUCAGGUGGAGGGCUGGUCUUGGAGAACUUGUCUCCUGAGCCUGGCAUAGACUUUUGUGUCUUGGAGCUUGUGUCGUCUGAAGCACCUUGCUUUUAGGGGGCAGGUACACUGAGGGGCCAUGAUAGAACUAUCAGACCCUGUUAGGCCUAAAGAGGAAAUGAAGGGAGGGACUCCAGAGUUUUCUUUCUUAUCAAGUGAUCUCCCUAGAAUAGAAGGGAAUGUGGAGGGGAUGGCGGGGGCCCUGCCUGCUAUGUGGACUUGGCUGAAUGUGAGUGACAGGUGGCUAUGGUAAUAGAUAGCAUUAUAAAACUGCACGCUCAUCCUGCUAUUUUUAAAGUCCUCGCUGUCCCUCACCAACCCAAGUGUGCUGAGCGUGUGUGUCCAUGCAUGUGUGCCUGCUUGUGUGUGUAGAUCCGAGGACAACCCUGGGUUUCAAUGCUCACCUUUAACCUAGUUUACGAUGAUGCUGCCUUUCUUGGUUGUAGCUGUGCAUGCCAGGCUGGCCGGCCUGAUGGUUUCUAGGCCUCUUCUGUCCCUGCGUCCUGACUUGCUGGAGGAGGUCUGGGUUGAUACACCCUGCUCUGUGUGGGUCUUAGGUAUGCAAACUCAGGCCUUCAUGCGUGUGGGCAAGAUGUGCCCUGAGUCAUACCCAGGCCCUCGCCCUGGUCAUUUCCUUUCCAGCUUGUCAGUCAGAAGGGACUGCUUGCCCCAGUCCCUCCAUCCUGUGUGCACGAUGUGCCCUUAGAUAUGCCACUGUUACGGGGGGGCCUUACUGCCUGGGAAGAGUCACUAUGUACACACAUAGAAAUCUGCACUUCCAGGAAAUGUAAAUAUCAUGCCUCUCUGUGUUCCCUGAGGUCCUAAAAUGUCCAUGCAAUGAGCCUACAAAAAUAAUGCUUUUUUUUUUUUUUUUUUUUUUUAACAAAAA